rnacentral:rRNA from 1 species
GACGAACGCUGGCGGCGUGCUUAACACAUGCAAGUCGAACGGAAAGGCCCUGCUUUUGUGGGGUGCUCGAGUGGCGAACGGGUGAGUAACACGUGAGUAACCUGCCCUUGACUUUGGGAUAACUUCGGGAAACUGGGGCUAAUACCGGAUAGGAGCUCCUGCUGCAUGGUGGGGGUUGGAAAGUUUCGGCGGUUGGGGAUGGACUCGCGGCUUAUCAGCUUGUUGGGUAGUGGCUUACCAAGGCUUUGACGGGUAGCCGGCCUGAGAGGGUGACCGGCCACAUUGGGACUGAGAUACGGCCCAGACUCCUACGGGAGGCAGCAGUGGGGAAUAUUGCACAAUGGGCGGAAGCCUGAUGCAGCAACGCCGCGUGCGGGAUGACGGCCUUCGGGUUGUAAACCGCUUUCGCCUGUGACGAAGCGUGAGUGACGGUAAUGGGUAAAGAAGCACCGGCUAACUACGUG